GAGUAUAGAGGAAAAAGAAUGAGAAUGGAAAUGAGAAUGAGAGUGAAUAUGGAAUUAAGGGGGGAGGAGGAAGGAGGGAGUAACAAAAAUGAAAACUAAAACUAAAAACUGAAAUCUAUUUGAAUUUGUUUUCACUUUUGUUACUCUUCCCUCCCAUCAUCUUCUCUCAUCCUUAUUCUCCUUCUCACUCUCAUUUUCCUCUAUACUCU
rnacentral:snoRNA from 1 species